AUUCUACCACUGCGAGGCCCAUGGCAGCUCUCUGGGUCCCUAUUGACGCUGGGGUGUGAAAGUAUGGGGGAGCGAACGGGAUUAGAUACCUUGGUAGUCCAUGCCGUAAACGAUGAGUGUUCGCCCAGCUAACAUGUAAAACACUCCGCUUGGGGAGUACGGUCACAAGAACGAAAUCAAAGAAAUUGAUGGUGGCCUGUACAAGCGGUGGUCGUAUGUCACAUAGCUCUCUCCAA
rnacentral:rRNA from 1 species